AUACGUAGGACCCAAGCGUUGUCCGGAUUUACUGGGUAUAAAGGGUGCGUAGGCGGAUUUGUGCGUCAGAGGUUAAAUCCCACCGCUUAACGGUGGAACUGCCUUUGAUACGGCAAGUCUUGAAUGCGAGAGAGGAUGAUGGAAUUCCUGGUGUAGCGGUGAAAUGCGUAGAUAUCAGGAGGAACACCAGUGGCGAAGGCGGUCAUCUGGCUCGUUAUUGACGCUGAGGCACGAAAGCGUGGGGAUCAAACAGGAUUAGAUACCCUGGUAGUCCACGCCCUAAACGAUGUAUGCUUGGUGCUGGGAACUUGUUCUCGGUGCCGAAGGAAACCCAUUAAGCAUACCACCUGGGGAGUACGAUCGCAAGGUUGAA
rnacentral:rRNA from 1 species